UAAGGGCGCACGGUGGAUGCCUUGGCACUAGAAGCCGAUGAAGGACGUUACUAACGACGAUAUGCUUUGGGGAGCUGUAAGUAAGCUUUGAUCCAGAGAUUUCCGAAUGGGGAAACCCAGCAUGAGUUAUGUCAUGUUAUCGAUAUGUGAAUACAUAGCAUAUCAGAAGGCACACCCGGAGAACUGAAACAUCUUAGUACCCGGAGGAAGAGAAAGAAAAUUCGAUUCCCUUAGUAGCGGCGAGCGAAACGGGAAGAGCCCAAACCAACAAGCUUGCUUGUUGGGGUUGUAGGACACUCUAUACGGAGUUACAAAGGACGACAUUAGACGAAUCAUCUGGAAAGAUGAAUCAAAGAAGGUAAUAAUCCUGUAGUCGAAAAUGUUGUCUCUCUUGAGUGGAUCCUGAGUACGACGGAGCACGUGAAAUUCCGUCGGAAUCUGGGAGGACCAUCUCCUAAGGCUAAAUACUCUCUAGUGACCGAUAGUGAACCAGUACCGUGAGGGAAAGGUGAAAAGCACCCCGGAAGGGGAGUGAAAUAGAACCUGAAACCGUGUGCUUACAAGUAGUCAGAGCCCGUUAAUGGGUGAUGGCGUGCCUUUUGUAGAAUGAACCGGCGAGUUACGAUUUGAUGCAAGGUUAAGCAGUAAAUGUGGAGCCGUAGCGAAAGCGAGUCUGAAUAGGGCGUUUAGUAUUUGGUCGUAGACCCGAAACCAGGUGAUCUACCCUUGGUCAGGUUGAAGUUCAGGUAACACUGAAUGGAGGACCGAACCGACUUACGUUGAAAAGUGAGCGGAUGAACUGAGGGUAGCGGAGAAAUUCCAAUCGAACCUGGAGAUAGCUGGUUCUCUCCGAAAUAGCUUUAGGGCUAGCCUCAAGUGAUGAUUAUUGGAGGUAGAGCACUGUUUGGACGAGGGGCCCCUCUCGGGUUACCGAAUUCAGACAAACUCCGAAUGCCAAUUAAUUUAACUUGGGAGUCAGAACAUGGGUGAUAAGGUCCGUGUUCGAAAGGGAAACAGCCCAGACCACCAGCUAAGGUCCCAAAAUAUAUGUUAAGUGGAAAAGGAUGUGGCGUUGCCCAGACAACUAGGAUGUUGGCUUAGAAGCAGCCAUCAUUUAAAGAGUGCGUAAUAGCUCACUAGUCGAGUGACACUGCGCCGAAAAUGUACCGGGGCUAAACAUAUUACCGAAGCUGUGGAUUGUCCUUUGGACAAUGGUAGGAGAGCGUUCUAAGGGCGUUGAAGCAUGAUCGUAAGGACAUGUGGAGCGCUUAGAAGUGAGAAUGCCGGUGUGAGUAGCGAAAGACGGGUGAGAAUCCCGUCCACCGAUUGACUAAGGUUUCCAGAGGAAGGCUCGUCCGCUCUGGGUUAGUCGGGUCCUAAGCUGAGGCCGACAGGCGUAGGCGAUGGAUAACAGGUUGAUAUUCCUGUACCACCUAUAAUCGUUUUAAUCGAUGGGGGGACGCAGUAGGAUAGGCGAAGCGUGCGAUUGGAUUGCACGUCUAAGCAGUAAGGCUGAGUAUUAGGCAAAUCCGGUACUCGUUAAGGCUGAGCUGUGAUGGGGAGAAGACAUUGUGUCUUCGAGUCGUUGAUUUCACACUGCCGAGAAAAGCCUCUAGAUAGAAAAUAGGUGCCCGUACCGCAAACCGACACAGGUAGUCAAGAUGAGAAUUCUAAGGUGAGCGAGCGAACUCUCGUUAAGGAACUCGGCAAAAUGACCCCGUAACUUCGGGAGAAGGGGUGCUCUUUAGGGUUAACGCCCAGAAGAGCCGCAGUGAAUAGGCCCAAGCGACUGUUUAUCAAAAACACAGGUCUCUGCUAAACCGUAAGGUGAUGUAUAGGGGCUGACGCCUGCCCGGUGCUGGAAGGUUAAGAGGAGUGGUUAGCUUCUGCGAAGCUACGAAUCGAAGCCCCAGUAAACGGCGGCCGUAACUAUAACGGUCCUAAGGUAGCGAAAUUCCUUGUCGGGUAAGUUCCGACCCGCACGAAAGGCGUAACGAUUUGGGCACUGUCUCAACGAGAGACUCGGUGAAAUCAUAGUACCUGUGAAGAUGCAGGUUACCCGCGACAGGACGGAAAGACCCCGUGGAGCUUUACUGUAGCCUGAUAUUGAAAUUCGGCACAGCUUGUACAGGAUAGGUAGGAGCCUUUGAAACGUGAGCGCUAGCUUACGUGGAGGCGCUGGUGGGAUACUACCCUAGCUGUGUUGGCUUUCUAACCCGCACCACUUA
rnacentral:rRNA from 1 species